rnacentral:lncRNA from 1 species
UUUCUUUUUUUUUUUUUUGCAGAGGUGCUUAGUAUGUGGUUUUCUAUGAUCUUUUGGAAACAGAUAUUAGCUGUUACCUUUACAAUUAUCUACAUUUUUUUUGGAAGGAUUUUAGUCACAUGGUUGUUUAAGCUGUAUGUUAUUUUACUUCUGUAUUCUAGUGCGUAGAAACUUAUAUUUUCUGCAUCAAUAAUUCGCACCAGUAUUCAUUUUGAACAAGAUUUUUAAAGUUUUGAGAGUCAAACUAUAGAUACUAAGCUAUGGUACUUUACCCUACUUGCAUGAUGUUCUUAGACCUGAUGGGUUAUCAGUAUGCACCAUUUGUUCUAUUUAGGUGAGAUGACUCUCCCCAAUUUGCCCUGUGAUUCUGAAGCCCUAAUUACCUCGCAUAUUGUGUCUUUUGUUUUAGGGUUUUAGAGCAUUAUAUUCUUAGUUUGUAUAUUUUGUAUAGAGAUGGACAAAGUAGAUUAUGUAGUGGGUGUGAGUAGAAAAUUAUAAAGACAGGAAUGGAUUAUGAGAUGACUGAGUUUGGUAAUACACGUCCAACAUGUGCCCUGCAUGCCCUUAUAUAUAAUAAAUUUGUUAUUUUAUGUUUAAUUUUAUUCAUAUUAAUUACGUUUUGGUAAAUAAAUAUCUAAUAUUAUAUAUUUAUAUUAUUAUUUUAUAUUUAUCAUUGAAUGAAUUGUUUUUAGAUAUUUUUUAAAUUAUAUUUUAUUUUGAUUAACAUUUGAUAUUUUUAAUUAACAGGUACCUAUUCAGUUAAACACACUUCUACAUAUUUAGUAUAAUGUGUAAUAGUUUAUUUAGAUUCAAUUAUGUCUAUUUCGGAUGAUAUUCUAACUAUGUUUAAAGUCUACGUUUCAUUCAUAUGAUCUCG